AAAGAUUUGAUUUCGGACAGGGUCGUAAGAUCGAGUUAGUCGAUCCGAGAUACAGGUGUGCGGGUCCUGCGCAAUGAACAACUGUGAACCAUGUCAGGCGGGGAACCGAGCAGCAUUAAGCAGUUUGCUUCGUGUGACGCAGUUUCGCCUGCACGCCUGUAUGUCGGAUCGAAUUUUU
rnacentral:misc_RNA from 2 species